UAGAGGAUAAUCUAAUUAAUUAUUCAACUAAACGACUUAUUAUUUGUGAAUCUAGCUCAUGUAUUCAUGAACAACCUUCGUUUGACAAGAGGAAUCCAUACAUUCGUCUCCUUGCCUCUUUAUUCGUUCAGGACUCCUGAACAAGGUUCUACUGGCUCUCAUCGUCAUUUAAUAUUUUAAAUGAUGAUCGGAAAGAAAUUCAACCCUCGGAGUAUGCUUUUUUGUGGCCAUGGACUGACUCACGAAGAAAAUAGAGCGCAGAUCGCUUUGUAUCGUGAUAUCACAUGAAUAAAUAUAAUAUAGACUUAAAUCAAUUCAUGAAUUAGUUCUUGACGUUAGAGUGAUACUGAUGGAUGAUGAAAUAAAGGGAUGUUCGAUAAAGGCUCUACUAAAUAAUGAUUGUUUCCUCCAUUUAAGGAUUUUUGAAUGGGAUAUCCUAAUUAUACGUUAAUGAAUCAUAGUAGUUGCCUUAGUUGAGGCUUGAAGAAAUGGAAAAAGCUCUAUCGAUAGAAAGAAAGGAAUAUUUAUUGAUGAAUGAUAGCUCUUUCUGAAGAUGGUGGGUAGCCUCAUAUUUCUCUAUCGUAUCUACUGUUACCAUUAAUGGAGGUUAAAUAGCUCACGAAGGUGCAUCCCUUUCUUGAAUUCAUCUCAAUGGCCUCAGUAUUAUCCCAUUGUACUCCACCUCGACUUCCUUCUCAACCUGGGAAUCUCCUAAGAAUCUUAUCAUGACAAACUACUUUAAAAUAUCUCUAUCCCAGAUGGCCGGUAAAAUAAUCAAAUAUAUUUUGAUUUUUCGAUUUGAUUGUAAUUUAAUGCUUGUUGUUGGAGUGUUUCACUAAUGUUUUUGUAAUUUUUUUUUUUCUAAAGGUGCCAUCCCUUCUUUUAUUAUCCACUUUUUUCUUUUUGUCAAUUACCUCUUCUUUUUUUUAAACAAUUUAUAACUUUCAGUUAGUUUGUGUGCAUGCUUGUGAUUGAGCUUUGUAAUACACUAUGAACCCCUUCAAUGCUAUUUUUUCUUCUGUUCUUCCCACUUCUCGUUCAUUCAUAAACGUUCCAUAAUCUAAUGGGAAAAGGUGGUUGUAUUCUACUUAACUUGACCAGAAAUACACAUAAUCUCCCAUAAAUUUUAUUUAUAUUACCCCUCAAAAAUGGGGCAUUACAAAGCUCAAUCACAAGCAUUAACGUGUUACAAGUCAAUGAGUCCUUUCGAAAUAGACUCAUAAUUCCAGAUCCGUGAUUCCUUACUCCUUUUCCUUAUAAAUAAUAAAGUAUAAACAGUACAAGAUUA
rnacentral:lncRNA from 1 species